rnacentral:rRNA from 1 species
GAUGAACGCUGGCGGCGUGCCUAAUACAUGCAAGUCGAGCGAACGGACGAGAAGCUUGCUUCUCUGAUGUUAGCGGCGGACGGGUGAGUAACACGUGGAUAACCUACCUAUAAGACUGGGAUAACUUCGGGAAACCGGAGCUAAUACCGGAUAAUAUUUUGAACCGCAUGGUUCAAAAGUGAAAGACGGUCUUGCUGUCACUUAUAGAUGGAUCCGCGCUGCAUUAGCUAGUUGGUAAGGUAACGGCUUACCAAGGCAACGAUGCAUAGCCGACCUGAGAGGGUGAUCGGCCACACUGGAACUGAGACACGGUCCAGACUCCUACGGGAGGCAGCAGUAGGGAAUCUUCCGCAAUGGGCAAAAGCCUGACGGAGCAACGCCGCGUGAGUGAUGAAGGUCUUCGGAUCGUAAAACUCUGUUAUUAGGGAAGAACAUAUGUGUAAGUAACUGUGCACAUCUUGACAGUACCUAAUCAGAAAGCCACGGCUAACUACGUG